rnacentral:rRNA from 1 species
CCUGGCUCAGGACGAACGCUGGCGGCGUGCUUAACACAUGCAAGUCGAGCGGUAAGGCCCUUCGGGGUACACGAGCGGCGAACGGGUGAGUAACACGUGAGCAACCUGCCCCUGACUCUGGGAUAAGCGGUGGAAACGCCGUCUAAUACCGGAUACGACCCGCCACCUCAUGGUGGAGGGUGGAAAGUUUUUCGGUCAGGGAUGGGCUCGCGGCCUAUCAGCUUGUUGGUGGGGUAACGGCCUACCAAGRCGAUUACGGGUAGGCCGGCCUGUAGAGGGCGACCGGCCACACUGGGACUGAGACACGGCCCAGACUCCUGCGGGAGGCAGCAGUGGGGAAUAUUGCGCAAUGGGCGAAAGCCUGACGCAGCGACGCCGCGUGGGGGAUGACGGCCUUCGGGUUGUAAACCUCUUUUACCACCAACGCAGGCUCGAAGUUCUCUUCGGGUUGACGGUAGGUGGGGAAUAAGGACCGGCUAAMCACGUGCCAGCAGCCGCGGUAAUACGUAGGGUCCGAGCGUUGUCCGGAAUUAUUGGGCGUAAAGAGCUCGUAGGCGGCGUGUCACGUCUGCUGUGAAAGAACCGGGGCUUAACUCCGGUUCUGCAGUGGAUACGGGCAUGCUAGAGGUAGGUAGGGGAGACUGGAAUUCCUGGUGUAGCGGUGAAAUGCGCAGAUAUCAGGAGGAACACCGGUGGCGAAGGCGGGUCUCUGGGCCUUACCUGACGCUGAGGAGCGAAAGCAUGGGGAGCGAACAGGAUUAGAUACCCUGGUAGUCCAUGCCGUAAACGUUGGGCGCUAGGUGUGGGGACUUUCCACGGUUUCCGCACCGUAGCUAACGCAUUAAGCGCCCCGCCUGGGGAGUACGGCCGCAAGGCUAAAACUCAAAGGAAUUGACGGGGGCCCGCACAAGCGGCGGAGCAUGUUGCUUAAUUCGACGCAACGCGAAGAACCUUACCAAGGUUUGACAUCACCCGUGGACUCGCAGAGAUGUGAGGUCAUUUAGUUGGCGGGUGACGGGUGGUGCAUGGCUGUCGUCAGCUCGUGUCGUGAGAUGUUGGGUUAAGUCCCGCAACGAGCGCAACCCUUGUUCCAUGUUGCCAGCACGUAAUGKUGGGGACUCAUGGGAGACUGCCGGGGUCAACUCGGAGGAAGKUGGGGAUGACGUCAAGUCAUCAUGCCCCUUAUGUCUUKGGCUGCAAACAUGCUMCAAUGGCCGGUACAAUGGGCGUGCGACACCGUAAGGUGGAGCGAAUCCCUAAAAGCCGGUCUCAGUUCGGAUUGGGGUCUGCAACUCGACCCCAUGAAGGUGGAGUCGCUAGUAAUCGCGGAUCAGCAACGCCGCGGUGAAUACGUUCCCGGGCCUUGUACACACCGCCCGUCACGUCAUGAAAGUCGGCAACACCCGAAACUUGCGGCCUAACCCCUUGUGGGAGGGAGUGAGUGAAGGUGGGGCUGGCGAUUGGGACGAAGUCGUAACAAGGUAGCCG